CUCAGGGAGGUAGUGACAAGAAAUAACAACACUGGAAAUUUUAUUUCUAGUGAUUGGAAUGAUGGGAAUUUAAACCCCUUUCAGAGUAACAAUUGGAGGGCAAGUCUGGUGCCAGCAGCCGCGGUAAUUCCAGCUCCAAUAGCGUAUAUUAAAGUUGUUGCAGUUAAAAAGCUCGUAGUUGGAUGUCUGCUGGAAGCAAUCAGUCCGCCCUAUUUGUAGGGUGUGCACUUGAUGAAUUCUGGCAUUUUUGUCCCAAUGAUGUAACGGGGCGGUGGUACUCGGUGAAAGCCGAGUAUCCUGUUUUCCGAUUAUUGGGAUACUGUUACUUUGAGAAAAUUAGAGUGUUUGAAGCAGGCUAAUUGCCUUGAAUACUGCAGCAUGGAAUAACAAUAUAGGAUUUCGGUUCUAUUUUGUUGGUUUCUAGGACUGAAAUAAUGAUUAAUAGGGACAGUUGGGGGCAUUCGUAUUUAACUGUCAGAGGUGAAAUUCUUAGAUUUGUUAAAGACGAACUACUGCGAAAGCAUUUGCCAAAGAUGUUUUCAUUAAUCAAGAACGAAAGUUAGGGGCUCGAAGACGAUCAGAUACCGUCGUAGUCUUAACCAUAAACUAUGCCGACUAGAGAUAGGAAAAUGUCAUUUUGCUGACUU
rnacentral:rRNA from 1 species